UGGGCCCGAGUUUGAUCAUGGCUCAGAGCGAACGCUGGCGGCAGGCUUAACACAUGCAAGUCGAGCGGGCGUAGCAAUACGUCAGCGGCAGACGGGUGAGUAACGCGUGGGAACGUACCUUUUGGUUCGGAACAACACAGGGAAACUUGUGCUAAUACCGGAUAAGCCCUUACGGGGAAAGAUUUAUCGCCGAAAGAUCGGCCCGCGUCUGAUUAGCUAGUUGGUGAGGUAACGGCUCACCAAGGCGACGAUCAGUAGCUGGUCUGAGAGGAUGAUCAGCCACAUUGGGACUGAGACACGGCCCAAACUCCUACGGGAGGCAGCAGUGGGGAAUAUUGGACAAUGGGCGCAAGCCUGAUCCAGCCAUGCCGCGUGAGUGAUGAAGGCCCUAGGGUUGUAAAGCUCUUUUGUGCGGGAAGAUAAUGACGGUACCGCAAGAAUAAGCCCCGGCUAACUUCGUGCCAGCAGCCGCGGUG
rnacentral:rRNA from 1 species